rnacentral:rRNA from 1 species
UACGAAGGGGGCUAGCGUUGUUCGGAUUUACUGGGCGUAAAGCGCGCGUAGGCGGGUCGUUAAGUCAGGGGUGAAAUGCCGAGGCUCAACCUCGGAACUGCCUUUGAUACUGGCGACCUGGAGUUCGGGAGAGGUGAGUGGAAUUCCGAGUGUAGAGGUGAAAUUCGUAGAUAUUCGGAGGAACACCAGAAGCGAAGGCGGCUCACUGGCCCGAUACUGACGCUGAGGCGCGAAAGCGUGGGGAGCAAAC